UCGAGAAUCUUUCGCAAUGGGCGAAAGCCUGACGAAGCGACGCCGUGUGUGCGAUGAAGGCCUUCGGGUUGUAAAGCACUUUCGCCUGGGAACAAGGGAUGCCGGCUAAAAUCCGGCAAACUUGAGGGUACCAGGUAAAGAAGCACCGGCUAACUCCGUGCCAGCAGCUGCGGUAAUACGGAGGGUGCGAGCGUUAAUCGGAUUUAUUGGGCGUAAAGGGCGCGUAGGCGGGAUGUUAAGUCAGUUGUGAAAGCCCGGAGCUCAACUCCGGAACAGCAAUUGAAACUGGCAUUCUAGAGGGUAGGCGGGGAAAACGGAAUUCCACAAGUAGCGGUGAAAUGCGUAGAUAUGUGGAAGAACACCUGUGGCGAAGGCGGUUUUCUAGCUUACACCUGACGCUGAUGCGCGAAAGCAAGGGGAGCAAACA
rnacentral:rRNA from 1 species